GGGCGGUUAGCUCAGCUGGGAGAGCAACUGGUUUACACCCAGUAGGUCGGCGGUUCGAUCCCGUCACCGCCCACCA
rnacentral:tRNA from 1 species